GCCGCGGAGUCGACCGCGGGGGAUGACGGGUCGCGUUGCACGUCAGGAAAUAGAGUCCUGGGCAAUAAGUCCCCGGAAUGUGUCGACGGCGGACUCUGAAGCACUUUGGGAAGUGGAGUCAGAGUCACACACUCACUCCACUCCAGCAGCUGCGAGCCCUAGUUGUGUUUCAAAAAUGUAGUCGCUGCCACUCUCGGUGAGCUUUGUAGACCUGAUGCACGCCGGGAAACAUAGUCCAGACGCUCAUUUAGUCUAUUGGCUGUGUAUGCCGAUCGGAGCUAGGUGCACUGCGGGAAAUUGAGUCGGCGCCCGUGCAUUCGCCGCUAUCGGGCCGCGAGGCGAGUCGGGAAAUGGAGUCGUCGCCACGCCCUCACCGCAUUGCAGGUGUAACGCGACUUCCAAAGCAUGCUGGGAAAUGGAGUCCCAUGUGCUCCCCAAGCCCCAAGAGGACACUGCAAUUACGGAGAUAGGCUAAGAAAUAGAGUAGGGAGGUACAGCGUUCCUCCGCCCUCCUAUGCUAGGCCGCAGUCCCUGCCGGGAAAUGUAGUCAACACCAAGGCUUCAGAGUAGUUGCUACAGUGAGCCUUUGUGUCUUCUGGGAAAUGGAGUUCAAGGCAGCCUCUCCAUUUGACGGGGAGGAAAUCUACCAGGAGCCCGGAGCAUGUUGGGUAAUAGUCCAGCCCGCACCCUGACCCUUUCUUUCUGAGACGAGGAUGCAGAGGCUUGCUGGGAAGUGAAGUUCAAUCGGUACUUUUGGGAAAGCGUUUAGCCAAAGGUGAAAGACAUCAAUCCCUUGGGGGAGACUGCAGAGUGUUCAACGCUUCCUUCCCCUCCCCAGGUCCCAAGAAAGAGCUAAAAUUGAUCAGGAGCCGCAAGAAAAUGGUGUCCAAACAUUCCAAGUUCCAAGUUUCCAAAAUCAGGAAGGAAAUGUCUCCCACAAACAAUAUGGGGAACAAAGUUCCCGGUGGUCUCACAGAACAAUAGUCUUCAAAUACAUUCUAGCUUUUUCUGCCAACCUGGGCUGCACCAAGAGGCUGAGACGAGUAUUAAAAAGGUGAAGACAGAAUUUCCCCUUUCAGUCUUUUGCGUCCUCCGCUUCCUAAGUUUACAGGAUCCAGGAGGGCCCAAAACAAGGAAGCCGGCUGUUGAGAGUAGCCUCGGGUUUUGUGCACGGACUAGGUCGCCCUAUUUAUCGAUGAAUACCGGCCUGAAGAAAGUCUCGUCCACUGGGUCUGACUGCAAUUCCCAGCGGACCCACAAGAUACCCUCCCCCGCCCCCGCUGGGGCCUGCUGACAGUCUCGCCUAGAAGGCGAAAGCUUUCUCGCACUACAAUAACCAAAAGGCAAAGCGCGGACAUACUUCCGCUCCCUUUUCAAUGAACGCGGGUGCAUUAGGAA